UAUUGUUUUGGCACUGAGGAGGAAAACGUGGAGAAGAGGCUCCCGCUAAAGGUAGAGAAAACAGGGGGCAGAAAAUUAACGAAAGGGGUAAGAUCUAGAAAGAGAUGCAGAAACCAGCCUUGUGCAGGAGGCCUGUCUUCCUUCAAGUCAGGAGGAACGGAGCUAUAAUUUGCGCUACAUUAAGGGACCCUCCUUUCCAUAAUGGAUGUGCGGUUUGAACGCAGGCGCAGUCGGGCCUCGAGGGCAAGGCCCUGCCCGCCAGACGUGGAUUUCGGCCAGGUGGGGCGUCCGCAGCCAAUCGCAGGGCCCCAGAACCCGAGAGCUGUGCUGCCGAGGCAGGUGGAGGCCUCCACUCCUGCCCAAGGUCUUGGGAAGAUGCUGCACGAAAGCCCAGAGCACUUCUGUGAGUCUUCCAUCAAAUGCACCGGCUGUAUUUCCCGAGAGGAGCACAAAAGAAAACCUGUGGGCUGACAGUCUAGACAGAAAGACCCGGCGCUUUUGCAGGAGAAGCCUUAGGGGACAUGGUUGAGAGCACAGAUUCUGGAGCCGGACUGUCCCAGUUUGAAUACUGACUUUGCCCCUUCUGAGCUGUGUGACUUUCUGCAAGUUACCCAGCCUUUCUGUGCCUUUGUUUCCUCCUGCCCCCAAAUGGUACUAAUAGUCCCUACCAGUUACAUGCUAAAGCCAGAACAAGCUCUUGAAAGCCAACUGUUUAAUUAUCAGGAAUUGUGUGAGCUGGUUGUUCAAAACAGCCAUUACCAAAAAUUAAACUCUAUAAACUUGUACUUACAAUUUA